CAGAGCACCAUUAAAGGGGAUACUGUUUCAUGGAAAAGUCGGCGUUCUGUGGUUUCUGGAGCAGAUUUUGUCAAAAGAAAAAAAUCCAUGAAAGCAUGAUGGAGAAUGCAAACUUGGUUAUUCAGCAACGGGACCAACGGCUUCACGUGACUUCCGAACAACGUCGAGAGUGAACUUCUAUCACCAGAAAUACACAUCUCUCACUCCUCAAUGGAAUGGCCGAGAAUCGAACCCGCGACCAUCGAGGGAUGGAAAGGUUGCCUACCACUGAAACUCUAGGAAGGACUUGAUUGGUGAUUCAACUCAGAGCCCAUGCAGUAGAGAGUCGCUGGCGAUAGCAAUGAGCUACAGGACACGUAAGGGUGAAAACUGAAGCGAGUGAAGUUGGACAGCUAGCUUGGAAAAGACUAAAGGAAUCGAAUGAAGAAUUAAUCACAGAAUAUAGUGCAUCUGACUCAAGGGCCGCUAUAGUACGUAUAUAAGACCGUGACAACGACAAUGAGGUUAGUGUGUCUCACACCUAGACCUGAAGUAGGUGCUCAUAUAGCUCCUCCCUUUUUACGGUACGUAUCUCUGGUCUCCCCCAUGUUUAAGUUAAUCUUAAACUUUGUGUCGUACGGGUUCUUGCUUCUAAAACACUCCGUAACCUCUCCGUGAAAGGCAAUUGGUUUUUAUAGGGCCGAGUAUGUAUGUCUUCCUUUCUGUCUUUCAGUCUUAGUCAAUUUAUAUGGCUCCAGAUAAAUUUCAGUCAUUCAAUCAUUCAGUCUCACUCAAAUUAGAAAUAACAUUGCAUUUUUGACCGGCUGUUCAUUUUAGAUUAAUUUCAUUCGGUUUGAAUCAAAUCGUUUUGUAAAUAUAACUAGAUCAUUAACCAUAGAAAAAUGCAUUUCUAACUGCAGCAAAAUUUUCCAGGAUAUCCAUUCCUUUUUCUGAUAAUAAUAAUAAUAAUAAUAAUAAUAAUAAUAAUAAUAAUAAUAAUAAUAAUAAUAAUAGGUCGUCAAUCGACAGGUUAAGCAACAUUGGGGCUGGUCAGUCGUUGGAUGGGUGACCGCUCUCCUCGGCGUUGAUUCCUUGGGAAAGGAUCUUUACCAUAAUUUCCUCAGUCUACUCAGCUGUAAAUGAGUACCUAUCCCUGAUGGGGUAGGGUCCAGCUAUGGGUUAAAUAGCAAAACUCAGCAAUGAUGGAAAGAAAUGAAGGAAUAAACGACAACGACGUAAAUGGAACCUCUGGCAACAGAGGAGCUUCGUCCGGCAGCCAGGUAUUCAACCCAAUUGAAGGGGAAGACGGUCAGGUACUUGGAGGUCGUCAUCCAGCAACUGACCACCACAACGACAGUAACCAACAGCCUGAGAUUGGAGCUACAGAAGCAAACCAAAGGAAGAAAUGGACAAGAGAAGAAAAUAAGGAAAUAUGGAGAUGCUACAUCAGAAGCAACCCGACGGAGAGAGGAUAUAGAAGAAGGUUGGUCAACAUCUGAAAUGAGAGGAAUAACACCCCCCAAACAGAACAGAGGCUGGCAGACCAAGUAAGAAACAUAAGGAAAAAGAACUGGCUCUCCCCAACAGAAAGAGAAGAACUGGAAAGGGAAAUGUCACACGACAACGAAUUACACGAAGACGAACUGAGAGACGAUGCCACAGAAGACGACAGGGAUGAUGAGGUAUCAAACAACGACACACGAAGAAACACCGACGAAGUAACAGAGAGGACGGAAUGGGUAGAAAAGAUUAGACAAUGGAUGGAACCAGAUACAGAGAGAACAAAGAUCCCCUCCAUGAAAGCCUACAACGCCAAGAAAUUAAGGGAGAAAACAAGUGAGGUCAAUGAAAUAAUGGGCAUAAUACACACCACCAGUAUCACAGAAACAAAUAACUUGGCAUAUGCAGGAGCAAGAUUAGUAGCAGAACUGAUGGGGAUACGAACACUAACACCACCAGCACAACCAAGCCAACAGAAACCAAAACAGCAACCUCCUUGGAAAAGGCGCCUGGAAAAGCAAAUCAUGGUGAUGAGAUCUGACUUGAGUAAACUGAAAGAGAUGGCAGAAAAAAGGCUAAGAAGCAAGAAAACAAGGGAGGAACUCAACGAGAAAUACAAAGUACAAGAGAGGGGACUAAACAACACAAUAGAAGAUGUAAAACAGAGGUUUAAGGCCAAAGCACAUAAGAUCCAACGGUACAUGAACAGGAAUAAGGGAUACCAACAGAACAAACUAUUCGGAACUAACCAGAAAAGACUACAGCCAACUAAGAGGGGAAAACAACCACCAAGAAAUUCCUGAAGCCGAACCAAGUAAGAGACUCUGGGAAAACAUAUGGAGCAAUCCGGUAUAACACAACAAACAUGCAACAUGGCUCCAGGAAGUCAAGGAAGAAGAAACUGGGAGAAUAAAACAAAGAUUCACAGAGAUCACGACAGACUCAGUCAGACACCAACUAAAAAAAAUGCCAAACUGGAAAGACCCAGGUCCCGAUGAAGUCCAUGGAUACUGGCUCAAAAACUUCAAGGCCCUACACCCACGAAUAGCAGAACAACUCCAGCAUUGUAUCUCAAAUCACCAUGCACCCAAAUGGAUGACCACAGGAAGGACAUCCUUAGUACAAAAAGACAAGAGUAAGGGAAAUAUA